AUGCUCUCGCAGGCCCAACUUCUCUGGAUACUAGUGCUUUGGAUUCAGGACUCCUAUGGCCAAAUUGUUUUGACUCAGACUCCAGAAUCCCUGUCAGUGUCCCCUGGACAGAGAGUCACCAUCAACUGCAAAGCCAGUACCAGCAUUAGCAACUACUUAGCCUGGUUCCAACAGAAAUCAGGACAAGCUCCUAAGCUUCUUAUCUACGAUUCUACUAACCGUGCCUCCGGGAUCCCAGACCGGUUCAGCGGCAGUGGGUCUGGGACUGAUUUCACUCUCACCAUCAGCAGCAUUGAAGCUGAAGAUGCUGGAGAUUAUUACUGUCAGCAACGUAACAGCUUCCCUCUCACAGUGAUACAGACCAUUACAAAAAGCUCCCUGAAAAGAGAGAGAGCUCGCUGCUUACUGUUUCUCACAGCUGUGACCAGGAGGGAGAAUUUUAUCAAUGAAUGCAAAUGA